CGCCCGCAUCAGCGCCACCAGUCCCCCGUUGAACACCAAACUGGCCCCCCUGGAGAGCUGUUGGCUCCACCAGGGGGGUGGGGCGUCGCUGAUACCCAACUGUACUGCUAACAGCUGUUGUUGGUCUCGGAGCUGCUCUUGCUGCUGUUGUACAUCGUGAUCUUGUUGAAGUUGGAAAGAGGAGGAGGGGGAUGAGGUUUCGGAGGCGGCGGCGCUCCCUGCAGCCAGGUCCUGUGGCCACCCAGACAAGCAGUAAUAAGGCCGCUUCAUCGUUUUGUUGAUUUCCUAGGUGGUUAGUGGAACCUUUGUUUGUUUGUUUUUCCUGUGGUGUUCUGCCCAUGCAGUGUGAUAAACGCAGGAUGCAUGCAUUCCGUACGACUUGUGUGGGGUACACGGUACGGGUUGCUAGGACGGGGAAAGGUUUUCCCCCGACGUGCCUUUUGUCGUACCUUCGUACGUGUUUGAUUAGUAGUCAUGCCGUGGUAUGUAUGUAUGUAUGUAUGUACACAUGUACGUCUAUCUGUCUAUCUAUAUGUGCGCGGUUGAUGUCGGUGGCGUCAAGAUGAACUGGGUACGUAUACCAGCCCUAAGAAUAGCUUCCACAGCCGCAGCUUAGCUUUGUGGUUCUUGUGGUCCACAGCCGUGUUGGUUUAGUUGUCCUAUCGGCUGGAAGCUUCUAUCCUUUCGCUUCUCCUCCUCCUUCUCCUGCAUCAUCACCAUCUUUGUUCCUGCUUUUCUCCUUGUUCCUGCUUUUCUCCUUCCUUCUUUAACCUCUUUCAAGAAUCAUACUUUAGUCUGUAAGUCCUAAGUAGGCAGCAGCGACAUGUUCACAUAGAAUCAUAAACUACAGAAUUAUAAAUCAGGAGGCACUCCAUUACCCAGUGUUUUUAAAACUUUUUCACUGUUGGUAAUUUUUUAGUGACCAAGUGGUUACUGUGGGGGUUUUCCUUGGUUACCACCUUACAAAAACUUUUCCCCAGCGAGUAUCCUGAACAGGAGCCCCGAGAACCAUGCAUCCGAAGAUCACUUGAAGAAAUUCUAAUGAACAAGCCGUCUGAGCAAGCUUUCAUCAACUUUGACUCUAUGCACGGCAACGUGUUCCCGAGCCGAGCUCACUGAACCAUCACUGAACCCAUCCAAGCGUCAAACAAAUGUUUAGGUGGUCAAUACUACCGGGGGUCUGUGGCCCAAUUUCUUGGCGACCACCUGGUUACUGGCAGGUGACUCGAAACAUUUCCUACUGACCACCUUCUGGAAGGGAAAUAUUUUCUCAGUAACCACUUGGUCACUAGUAACCACUUUUAAUCAAAAACACUGCCAUCCGCCGCUCCAAGUCGAUCAACGCUCCUGUCAUAGGAGACGUGUGCGGAGACGAAAGUAAAAAAAACACCAGCCAGUAAAUCGGUGAAACAAAAACCGGGUAGCUCAAUAACAACUCCAACCUGGGUUGAAGCGUUACGAUCUCUAAUAUGAUGUGAUCCCCGGGCGGUUCCGAGCCGGAGGGUUGUGGAGGGUGCGCGGUGUUGGAAGUAUCGACGGGUCGUCGUACUGCUGGCUCGAGAAUGCGUCUGCUCAGAGACUACUUCGCAGCACGUUGGGAUUUAAGUGGAGUGAUGUGAUGUCACGGCUGUCUAGGGAUGUUUCGGGGGACCAAAAAACGAGCAACGUUUCGUGUGUCGUGCAUCGUUCACAUGCAUGUGACACACAGCACGAUGACGGUUUAAACUACCCUUACAACACGAGAGAUACAUCCUGGUGCACAAAUGCUGCUUGAUCUUAAUAAUAAAAUCGUUUGAAAAGGGGCAGGUUGUUGUCUGCGCGUGGGAACUCUUCUGCUCGCGCUUCUGGGCCCCUCUUGAUGGAUGCAUCAGUCUGGACAAACAACAACAACAACAAUGACAACUUUAACUUGGACAUAAUGCUUGAAGCUGGGAGUUUUUGUAAAACUAUACGCAGUCCCAAAACGGGAAAGGAGAGCAAUAAGGAGAACACCGGGUUGCGAGUAUCGUGCGGGCCGAGCGGAUGGUCACGGAAUUGAACAAGCCGCGAAGAUUGCAGAUUUGGGCUAGGUUCGAGCUGCCUUACCAAAACCACGGCCAAUCAAGGGAUCAACAACUCCUGUUAACGCCUGACGACUCCUGAGGACAGCUGUCGAGUA
rnacentral:lncRNA from 1 species